AUCAAAGGUUCAACAACCGAAGUCUAAGACUCCGAUAACCGAACUUGGUUCUGCUAGCUUUAUUUUUCUAUUGAUUCCAAGGUUCCAAAACAUGAUUUUAUGGUUCCUAAAGGCCUAGAAUAAGAUGUUUGAUAUGUGUAUAGAGUUCUAGAGCUUCGAAUAAAACUCAUUAGGUUUCGAUGGUUAUAGGAUCGAACUUGAGAGAUUCAGGAAGCUAAGGAUUCGAGAUUAGCUACCGUUCGUGUAAGGUGGUUGAUAGGCUACAAG
rnacentral:misc_RNA from 1 species